rnacentral:lncRNA from 1 species
CCGACUUUGCUCCACCACAAGAAGCACCUAAACCCUAUGGAAAUCCCCUUGUCAUUCUAUCUUGGAACUGCAAGGGUAUAGGGUGCCACACAAAGAGAAGUUAUCAGGUUGAGUCUGCCUUCCAAGGGAGGGGAAGCAUCUUUAUCACACUCUAUCGCCCCAAGCUUGUCAUCAUCUCCCAAACUCGUGUUCAAGGAGCCGCCGCACAAUACCUAAGCACUCUGUUCGGUUUCACAAACGCCGAAUUAGUGGACCCCCUCGACUCUGGUGGCAGAAUUUGGCUAUUAUAGAACAAUCAUGAGAUCGAUUGUGAUGUCGUUGUAGUCGACUCAUACCACAUUCAUGCUUUUAUCCGGAAUAGAUGGGCGCUCAAUCAACAACCACAUCGGGGGUAAUCAAGUAAAAGAGUCGCUAUUUUUAAGUUAAAACUUGCAUUGUAUCUCCUUCCCUUUUUCUCUCCAAUGUUAUGAAUCUAUCUCCAGUGCUUUUGCUCUUCUCUCCACUAUCAGCAUAUUC